AACUUUCUGAAUUCGUACGGAGACUUCGUUAGACAGGAAUCCAUCAGGGCUAACGAAACUUCCAAGAUAAGUGAAGUG
rnacentral:pre_miRNA from 2 species